GGCCGGCACUGUUCUCGGCUCUCGCAGUCGGUUCAGGAGCCUGGUCAUCCGUAUGGGAAGCUAGAACGUCCUUCGGUGGUCGGCUAGUGGAUCAUACACUUUACUUUGAAAAAAUGAGAGUGUUUCAGGCAGGCAAUUGCUUGGAUCUUGCAGCAUGGAAUAAUGGAAUAGGACUUUGACCUAUUUGUUGGUUUACGAGGUCAAAGUA
rnacentral:rRNA from 1 species